rnacentral:misc_RNA from 1 species
GAAAUGCGAUAAGUAGUGUGAAUUGCAGAAUUCAGUGAAUCAUCGAAUCUUUGAACGCACAUUGCGCCCCUUGGUAUUCCAUGGGGCAUGCCUGUUCGAGCGUCAUCUACACCCUCAAGCUCUGCUUGGUGUUGGGCGUCUUUGUCCCGCCUCCGCGCGCGGACUCGCCCCAAAUUCAUUGGCAGCGGUCCUUGCCUCCUCUCGCGCAGCACAUUGCGCUUCUCGAGGUGUUGCGGCCCGCGUCCAGAAAGCAAUCGUUACCGUCUUUGACCUCGGAUCAGGUAGCGAUACCCGCUGAACUUAAGC